GCAGUCUCCUUGGCUACU
rnacentral:miRNA from 1 species